CAUUGGUUGAUUAGACAGGUAUAAAACAAGUCCUGGUAGUUAUUUUCCCCAUAGCAAUAACAUAAUUUGUCUUUUGUUAACAUUUUUUGAAAAUGUCAACAUUAUACAUAAAAACCCAUCCAAUUUUUGUAUUUCUACAGGUCCCAGAUAAUAAUUAGGAAAACAAAUCAGGACCGAAACUCCAGAGAGUCUGAAAUUGGCUGACCAUGGAACACCUAACCCGAAAAUAUGCAUAUCCCUUUCAGAGGGCAAAAAUCUGAGGAGAGGCUACAAUCCAAGGAAUGCAGGGAGCCUGUAGAAACUGGAAAAAGCAGACAAAUGAAUUCUCUCCCAGAGCUUCCAGAGGGAAUGUGGUGCUGGUGACACCUUGAGUUCAGAAAUUCAGUGACCUUCAGAACUUUGCCUAUGGUCUCUGCACAGUUUUUCUGCCUGGAAGUACUUCUUUAAAAUAAAAUAUCUAGUUGUGGUUGGAUAUACACAUCUCCAAAGUCUCCAGGAGAUGAACCUGAGCUGGAGUCUUCUGGUGAUCAUGAAAAUAUAACAUAAAACAACCAAAAAGAAGAAGAAUAACAUGCAGAAUGCACACAGUGUGAACAUUGUAAGCAAACUUUGGCUUAUUUGAAGUACAAUUUUAUUGUACAAACACAAAACAAUAAAGACAAUUGAUUUUAUAAGAUA